rnacentral:rRNA from 1 species
UACGGAGGAUGCGAGCGUUAUCCGGAUUUAUUGGGUUUAAAGGGUGCGUAGGCGGACUGUCAAGUCAGCGGUAAAAUUGAGAGGCUCAACCUCUUCCCGCCGUUGAAACUGGUGGUCUUGAGUGGAUGAGAAGUACGCGGAAUGCGUGGUGUAGCGGUGAAAUGCAUAGAUAUCACGCAGAACUCCGAUUGCGAGGGCAGCGUACCGGCAUCCAACCGACGCUGAGGCACGAAAGCGUGGGGAUCAAACAUG